rnacentral:rRNA from 1 species
AGGACGAACGCUGGCGGCGUGCUUAACACAUGCAAGUCGAGCGGAAAGGCCCUUCGGGGUACUCGAGCGGCGAACGGGUGAGUAACACGUGAGCAAUCUGCCCUUAGCUUCGGGAUAGCUCCGGGAAACCGGAAUUAAUACCGAAUACGACCUCGGCCGACAUCGGCCCUGGUGGAAAGUUUUUCGGCUAGGGAUGAACUCGCGGCCUAUCAGCUUGUUGGUGGGGUAAUGGCCUACCAAGGCGACGACGGGUAGCCGGCCUGAGAGGGCGACCGGCCACACUGGGACUGAGACACGGCCCAGACUCCUACGGGAGGCAGCAGUGGGGAAUAUUGCGCAAUGGGCGAAAGCCUGACGCAGCGACGCCGCGUGGGGGAUGAAGGCCUUCGGGUUGUAAACCCCUUUCAGCAGGGACGAAGCGAAAGUGACGGUACCUGCAGAAGAAGCGCCGGCUAACUACGUGCCAGCAGCCGC